rnacentral:rRNA from 1 species
AUGCUGCUACUUUCUGUAUGGAGCUGGGAGCGUCUGCCUGUUGGACGCCCGAAGAGCGUCAGGUUUAAUCCUUGGUAUGAAGAUGAACAUGACGAAUUACGGCGCCCCACUUGGGCUUACAAGUGGGAUGUGGUUUCCGAGAUGACGAACGAUGUCAAUCUCAUGUACCAGAAGUACGUUGCCGAGUUGGACACGAUUACGCUUGAGCAGGUGGAAUGGCAGCCAUAUGGCGCGGAUGACAGACUUGGGUACACCCCGGAGUUUAGCAUCAACCCGAUGUGCUUGCGGGAUAGGGAUCUCUGGCUUAUGCUGUGCCCACUGAUAUGCAACUGA